rnacentral:piRNA from 1 species
UGUAUGUAACUUUAGCAUAAU